AGAGUCUUUUGGCCCAGUAUAAAUAUGAUCCACCUUCUGAGAAGAAAAAUCCCUGGGAGAAGGUAUAUGUUGAACAAGCAUGUCAGUAAAUCCUGAAGCUCCACCAAAAACUGAACUACAAGCCAGUCUCAGCAAAGGCCUAACGUUCAACUUGUAAGCUGCAUUGCUAAGAGUAACACCAAACUCUGCAAGAGUAGUCUCAACACUUUUCCUAUGUUCGCCAAUGACUUGACUAUAUAUUUUGUAGAGUGGCUCAAGUACAAAUUGAACAAAUGACCUUUCCCCUCCACUUGCAGGUUGUUUUUUCUUAAAU
rnacentral:misc_RNA from 1 species